UGCGUAGGCGGAUUAAUAAGUCAGUGGUGAAAACCUGCAGCUUAACUGUAGACUUGCCAUUGAUACUGUUAGUCUUGAGUACGGUCAAGGUAGGCGGAAUGUGUAAUGUAGCGGUGAAAUGCUUAGAUAUUACACAGAACACCGAUUGCGAAGGCAGCUUACUGGGCCAUUACUGACGCUGAGGCACGAAAGCGUGGGGAGCGAACAGGAUUAGAUACCCUGGUAGCCC
rnacentral:rRNA from 1 species